UCACAAUACCUUAAUCAAGAUCAAAAAUACAUAUACAUAUAACAAAAUUGACCAUAAAAUCCAUACCAAUGCAAAUUAUUCAUAUCUAUAUCAUAUCCCCCUUUAAAUGUAAAAGAACAUUUAUAAACAAUAUUUGGGAACAUGGGCGUAGUUUUUUCUCUCCAAACUGCUUCCUGCUGAAUAGGGGCGUCGUUAAUUAGAUCGUUUAGGGUGUAACCUGUGUGCCAGGUUCAUCUCAGUUGGCAGUUGAGUGAAGUAAUUUUUUGAGGGUGUUCACAGCAACCUUUCAGGAGGACGUGGUCUAUCAUACCAUACCGGGAUAGAUGCAAUCCACAGGGUCACAUCCUCUGUAAAAACAAAAGAAGACCCUCUCCAAAGCAUCAUAUCCUUUGACCCAAAUUUUGAAAUCGUAAUACCCUUAUAUCCAUUCUGGUUUAGCUUGGCAGCCCAUGUAACAAAAUGUCUCUCUGUACUUAGCUCCUUCACAGUCAAAAAUUUUAAAGAAAACACAAUGUACAUAA